CAAUAGGUUGAUGGCGACCGGCGCACGGGUGAGUAACACGUAUCCAACCUACCGGUUAUUCCGGGAUAGCCUUUCGAAAGAAAGAUUAAUACCGGAUAGUAUAACGAGAAGGCAUCUUCUUGUUAUUAAAGAAUUUCGAUAACCGAUGGGGAUGCGUUCCAUUAGUUUGUUGGCGGGGUAACGGCCCACCAAGACAUCGAUGGAUAGGGGUUCUGAGAGGAAGGUCCCCCACAUUGGAACUGAGACACGGUCCAA
rnacentral:rRNA from 1 species